UUACAGCCAUAUCACAUUGGAAAACCGUUUCUCGUGUGAUCACCGAAGUUAAGCAACGUCGAGCCUGAACAGUACCUAGACGAGUGACCGCUUGGAUAUACUAGGUGCUGUAA